rnacentral:rRNA from 1 species
UACGAAGGGGGCUAGCGUUGUUCGGAAUUACUGGGCGUAAAGCGCACGUAGGCGGAUCGGUCAGUUAGGGGUGAAAUCCCAGAGCUCAACUCUGGAACUGCCUUUAAUACUGCCGAUCUGGAGUCCGGAAGAGGUGAGUGGAAUUCCGAGUGUAGAGGUGAAAUUCGUAGAUAUUCGGAGGAACACCAGUGGCGAAGGCGGCUCACUGGUCCGGUACUGACGCUGAGACGCGAAAGCGUGGGGAGCGAACAGG